CAAUAGCGUAUAUUAAAGUUGUUGCAGUUAAAAAGCUCGUAGUUGGAUUUCUGGUAGGAGUGACCGUUCCGAACUUGAUUGUUCGUGUAUUGUGUUUUCUCCAGCCAUCCUUGUGGAGAACUUUUCUUGCAUUAAUUUGUAGGGAUUGGGACCCGCAUCGUUUACUGUGAAAAAAUUAGAGUGUUUAAAGCAGGCAAUCGCUUGAAUACAUUAGCAUGGAAUAAUAAGAUAGGACUUUGGUACUAUUUUGUUGGUUUGCAUACCAAAUUAAUGAUCAACAGGAACAGUUUGAGGAUAUUCGUAUGAACAUGUCAGAGGUGAAAUUCUUGGAUUUUGAUCAGACGAACUACUGCGAAGGCAUUUAUCAAGGAUGUUUUCAUUAA
rnacentral:rRNA from 1 species